rnacentral:rRNA from 1 species
AUUGAACGCUGGCGGCAUGCUUUACACAUGCAAGUCGAACGGCAGCGCGGGCUUCGGCCUGGCGGCGGGUGGCGAACGGGUGAGUAAUACAUCGGAACGUGCCCAGCUGUGGGGGAGAGCUCGGCGAAAGCCGGAUUAAUACCGCAUUCGAGCUGAGGGUGAAAGCGGGGGAUCUUCGGAUCUCGCGCUCUUGGACCGGCCGAUGGCAGAUUAGCUAGUUGGUGGGGUAAAGGCCUACCAAGGCGACGAUCUGUAGCUGGUCUGAGAGGACGACCAGCCACACUGGGACUGAGACACGGCCCAGACUCCUACGGGAGGCAGCAGUGGGGAAUUUUGGACAAUGGGCGAAAGCCUGAUCCAGCAAUGCCGCGUGUGUGAUGAAGGCCUUCGGGUUGUAAAGCACUUUUGGCGGGAACGAAAAGGACUGUGCCAAUACCACGGUUCGAUGACGGUACCCGCAGAAUAAGCACCGGCUAACUACGUG